rnacentral:rRNA from 1 species
AUUGAACGCUGGCGGCAUGCCUUACACAUGCAAGUCGAACGGUAACAGGUCUUCGGAUGCUGACGAGUGGCGAACGGGUGAGUAAUACAUCGGAACGUGCCUAGUAGUGGGGGAUAACUACUCGAAAGAGUGGCUAAUACCGCAUGAGAUCUACGGAUGAAAGCAGAGGAUCGCAAGACCUUGUGCUACUAGAGCGGCCGAUGGCAGAUUAGGUAGUUGGUGGGAUAAAAGCUUACCAAGCCGACGAUCUGUAGCUGGUCUGAGAGGGCGAUCAGCCACACUGGGACUGAGAAACGGCCCAGACUCCUACGGGAGGCAGCAGGGGGGAACUUUGGACAAUGGGCGCAAGCCUGAUCCAGCAAUGCCGCGUGCAGGAUGAAGGCCUUCGGGUUGUAAACUGCUUUUGUACGGAACGAAAAGCCCCGGGUUAAUACCCUGGGGUCAUGACGGUACCGUAAGAAUAAGCACCGGCUAACUACGUGCCAGCCGCCGCGGUAA